UACGUAGGGUGCGAGCGUUUGUCCGGAAUUAUUGGGCGUAAAGAGCUCGUAGGCGGUCUGUCGCGUCGAAUGUGAAAACCCGGGGCUCAACUCCGGGCUUGCAUUCGAUACGGGCAGGCUAGAGUUCGGUAGGGGAGUCUGGAAUUCCUGGUGUAGCGGUGAAAUGCGCAGAUAUCAGGAGGAACACCGGUGGCGAAGGCGGGACUCUGGGCCGAUACUGACGUGAGGAGCGAAAGCGUGGGGGAGCGAACAGG
rnacentral:rRNA from 1 species